rnacentral:rRNA from 1 species
GGGUUGUGAGGUUAAGCGACUAAGCGUACACGGUGGAUGCCCUGGCAGUCAGAGGCGAUGAAGGACGUGCUAAUCUGCGAAAAGCGUCGGUAAGGUGAUAUGAACCGUUAUAACCGGCGAUGUCCGAAUGGGGAAACCCAGUGUGAUUCGUCACACUAUCGUUAACUGAAUACAUAGGUUAACGAGGCGAACCGGGGGAACUGAAACAUCUAAGUACCCCGAGGAAAAGAAAUCAACCGAGAUUCCCCCAGUAGCGGCGAGCGAACGGGGAGCAGCCCAGAGUCUGAAUCAGCUUGUGUGUUAGUGGAACGGUCUGGAAAGUCCGACGGUACAGGGUGAUAGUCCCGUACACCAAAAUGCACAGGCUGUGAACUCGAAGAGUAGGGCGGGACACGUGGUAUCCUGUCUGAAUAUGGGGGGACCAUCCUCCAAGGCUAAAUACUCCUGACUGACCGAUAGUGAACCAGUACCGUGAGGGAAAGGCGAAAAGAACCCCGGCGAGGGGAGUGAAAAAGAACCUGAAACCGUGUACGUACAAGCAGUGGGAGCACCUUCGGGUGUGACUGCGUACCUUUUGUAUAAUGGGUCAGCGACUUAUAUUCUGUAGCAAGGUUAACCGUAUAGGGGAGCCGCAGGGAAACCGAGUCUUAACUGGGCGUUAAGUUGCAGGGUAUAGACCCGAAACCCGGUGAUCUAGCCAUGGGCAGGUUGAAGGUUGGGUAACACUAACUGGAGGACCGAACCGACUAAUGUUGAAAAAUUAGCGGAUGACUUGUGGCUGGGGGUGAAAGGCCAAUCAAACCGGGAGAUAGCUGGUUCUCCCCGAAAGCUAUUUAGGUAGCGCCUCGUGAACUCAUCUUCGGGGGUAGAGCACUGUUUCGGCUAGGGGGUCAUCCCGACUUACCAACCCGAUGCAAACUACGAAUACCGAAGAAUGUUAUCACGGGAGACACACGGCGGGUGCUAACGUCCGUCGUGAAGAGGGAAACAACCCAGACCGCCAGCUAAGGUCCCAAAGUCAUGGUUAAGUGGGAAACGAUGUGGGAAGGCACAGACAGCCAGGAUGUUGGCUUAGAAGCAGCCAUCAUUUAAAGAAAGCGUAAUAGCUCACUGGUCGAGUCGGCCUGCGCGGAAGAUGUAACGGGGCUAAACCAUGCACCGAAGCUGCGGCAGCGACACUAUGUGUUGUUGGGUAGGGGAGCGUUCUGUAAGCCUGCGAAGGUGACCUGUGAGGGUUGCUGGAGGUAUCAGAAGUGCGAAUGCUGACAUAAGUAACGAUAAAGCGGGUGAAAAGCCCGCUCGCCGGAAGACCAAGGGUUCCUGUCCAACGUUAAUCGGGGCAGGGUGAGUCGACCCCUAAGGCGAGGCCGAAAGGCGUAGUCGAUGGGAAACAGGUUAAUAUUCCUGUACUUGGUGUUACUGCGAAGGGGGGACGGAGAAGGCUAUGUUAGCCGGGCGACGGUUGUCCCGGUUUAAGCAUGUAGGCUGGUUGUCCAGGCAAAUCCGGAUAAUCAAGGCUGAGGUGUGAUGACGAGGCACUACGGUGCUGAAGUAACAAAUGCCCUGCUUCCAGGAAAAGCCUCUAAGCAUCAGGUAACAUUAAAUCGUACCCCAAACCGACACAGGUGGUCAGGUAGAGAAUACCAAGGCGCUUGAGAGAACUCGGGUGAAGGAACUAGGCAAAAUGGUGCCGUAACUUCGGGAGAAGGCACGCUGGUGUGUAGGUGAAGCCCCUGCGGGUGGAGCUGAGACCAGUCGAAGAUACCAGCUGGCUGCAACUGUUUAUUAAAAACACAGCACUGUGCAAACACGAAAGUGGACGUAUACGGUGUGACGCCUGCCCGGUGCCGGAAGGUUAAUUGAUGGGGUUAUCCGUAAGGAGAAGCUCUUGAUCGAAGCCCCGGUAAACGGCGGCCGUAACUAUAACGGUCCUAAGGUAGCGAAAUUCCUUGUCGGGUAAGUUCCGACCUGCACGAAUGGCGUAAUGAUGGCCAGGCUGUCUCCACCCGAGACUCAGUGAAAUUGAACUCGCUGUGAAGAUGCAGUGUACCCGCGGCAAGACGGAAAGACCCCGUGAACCUUUACUAUAGCUUGACACUGAACAUUGAGCCUUGAUGUGUAGGAUAGGUGGGAGGCUUUGAAGCGUGGACGCCAGUCUGCGUGGAGCCAACCUUGAAAUACCACCCUUUAAUGUUUGAUGUUCUAACGUUGGCCCCUGACCGGGGUUGCGGACAGUGUCUGGUGGGUAGUUUGACUGGGGCGGUCUCCUCCCAAAGCGUAACGGAGGAGCACGAAGGUUAGCUAAUCCUGGUCGGACAUCAGGAGGUUAGUGCAAUGGCAUAAGCUAGCUUGACUGCGAGCGUGACGGCGCGAGCAGGUGCGAAAGCAGGUCAUAGUGAUCCGGUGGUUCUGAAUGGAAGGGCCAUCGCUCAACGGAUAAAAGGUACUCCGGGGAUAACAGGCUGAUACCGCCCAAGAGUUCAUAUCGACGGCGGUGUUUGGCACCUCGAUGUCGGCUCAUCACAUCCUGGGGCUGAAGUAGGUCCCAAGGGUAUGGCUGUUCGCCAUUUAAAGUGGUACGCGAGCUGGGUUUAGAACGUCGUGAGACAGUUCGGUCCCUAUCUGCCGUGGGCGCUGGAGAAUUGAGGGGGGCUGCUCCUAGUACGAGAGGACCGGAGUGGACGCAUCACUGGUGUUCGGGUUGUCAUGCCAAUGGCACUGCCCGGUAGCUAAAUGCGGAAGAGAUAAGUGCUGAAAGCAUCUAAGCACGAAACUUGCCCCGAGAUGAGUUCUCCCUGAGACUUUAAGUCUCCUGAAGGAACGUUAAAGACGAUGACGUUGAUAGGCCGGGUGUGUAAGCGCAGCGAUGCGUUGAGCUAACCGGUACUAAUGAACCGUGAGGCUUAACCUUACAACGCCGAAG